UACGUAGGUGGCAAGCGUUAUCCGGAAUUAUUGGGCGUAAAGCGCGCGCAGGCGGUUUCUUAAGUCUGAUGUGAAAGCCCACGGCUCAACCGUGGAGGGUCAUUGGAAACUGGGGAACUUGAAUGCAGAAGAGAAAAGCGGAAUUCCACGUGUAGCGGUGAAAUGCGUAGAGAUGUGGAGGAACACCAGUGGCGAAGGCGGCUUUUUGGUCUGUAACUGACGCUGAGGCGCGAAAGCGUGGGGAGCAAACAGG
rnacentral:rRNA from 1 species